GGUUGAACUCGGAUUAGGUAGGGAUACCCGCUGAACUUAAGCAUAUCAA
rnacentral:rRNA from 1 species